GGUUGGUCUGAAGGUAGUGAGUUAUCUCAAUUGACUGUUCACAGUUACAGAUCAAAUUCCUUGUUCUCCUUCGUCCUGCCCCUUCUGAAUACUGUACUUGACUAGUCUUAA
rnacentral:Y_RNA from 1 species